rnacentral:lncRNA from 1 species
CACACUGAGCUGCUAACCUGAGUCUUGACACUCCUCCUGGAGACCUGUGUCAGAAAUAAUUAUAGCAGAGAGAGGUGAUUCUUCCUUGGUUAUUAGCAGUUGCUGGUGUUGGUAUCCAGCAUUGAUUAGCAAUUUGGAACACCACGUUCCUUGGACUUUGUUUCUUCUUCUGUUCCUUGGAGGACAGAGCACAUUGUUCUUCAUUUCUUUUGCCUCUGUUUGCCCUUGUCUCUGUCUGUGUGUUUUGAGAAGGUUCCUUUCAUGCUCCACUGAUUUAUUUACUUGUAACCUUAUUUUCUGCUCUCUUGUUUUUCAAACCGUUUGCGGGCCAUUGGUGAGGUUGAGAGACUUCACCUCUUGGAUACUGGGUGUGGUUGUGGGAGUUCUGGGAGCUGAGAACUCCCAUCCAGGACCAUUUAGCACCCAGUAACCCAGGGCUCCAGGCUUCCUUGGUGGCUUGGUGGUAAAAGAAUCUGCUUGUAAUGCAGGAGAUGUGGGCAAUGCAGGAGAUGUGGGUUUAAUCCCUGAGCCAGGAGAAGGAAAUGGCAACCCACUCCAGUAUUCUUGCCUGGAAAAUCCCAUGGACAGAGGAGCCUGGCGGGCUACAGUCCAUGGGAUGGCAAACAGCUGGACACAACUUAGUGACUAAAUACCACCAACCAACCCAGGUCUCCAGCAGAAGCAAUGGAGAGGAUAGAAGGGAGAGGUGCCUCACCCAGGCUCAGCACUGGGGAUUUGUGUUGAAGACCUCUGGACUCUACUUCACCAGAACUGCUCACAGCCGUCCCAGUCGGUCCAGUCCCACUGCUGUGCCUCAGGUCACAUCUACGUUACCUGGACUUUAG